rnacentral:rRNA from 1 species
AUGAGGGGUACUGAUCCACGCUUCGAUCCCUUUUGCGUAUGGGGCAAUGAGAUAUUCAUGAACAAGCGUCAAGUGAGGAAACUAAGAAAGAUUGUUAGGCGAAAGAAACGGCUAUUUACUGAUGAUUACCUUGCAAACUACAUGACCGGAGUGGAGGCAACUAAGGUUAAAGUAUAUAAUUCAUGCUACCAUGAUAAUGCUGUAGAAGUAUUCCUGAAGGCGGUGAAGGAUGGGCGGGCGGUCGUCACAAGGGGUUGA